rnacentral:sRNA from 1 species
UUGUCUUUCCUUCUACGAAAAACCUUUCUCAGUCAGAACCUAUAACGCGCUGUGUAUCCGUUUUACGCCUCAACGAAGUAUCCG